AUCCUGGCUCAGAUUGAACGCUGGCGGCAUGCCUUACACAUGCAAGUCGAACGGUAACGGGCCUUCGGGUGCCGACGAGUGGCGAACGGGUGAGUAAUGCAUCGGAACGUACCUUCAGUGGGGGAUAACGUAGCGAAAGUUACGCUAAUACCGCAUAUUCUGUGCGCAGGAAAGCAGGGGAUCGCAAGACCUUGCGCUGAUUGAGCGGCCGAUGUCAGAUUAGCUAGUUGGUGAGGUAAAGGCUCACCAAGGCGACGAUCUGUAGCGGGGUCUGAGAGGAUGAUCCGCCACACUGGAACUGAGACACGGUCCAGACUCCUACGGGAGGCAGCAGUGGGAAAUUUGGACAAUGGGGGCAACCCUGAUCCAGCCAUGCCGCGUGAGUGAAGAAGGCCUUCGGGUUGUAAAGCUCUUUCGGCCGGGAAGAAAUCGCAUGGGCUAAUACCCUGUGCGGAUGACGGUACCGGCAUAAGAAGCACCGGCUAACUACGUG
rnacentral:rRNA from 1 species